GAGUGGCGAACGGGUGAGUAAUACAUCGGAACGUGUCCUGGAGUGGGGGAUAGCCCGGCGAAAGCCGGAUUAAUACCGCAUACGAUUCUGGAUGAAAGCGGGGGACCGAAAGGCCUCGCGCUCAAGGGGCGGCCGAUGGCAGAUUAGCUAGUUGGUGGGGUAAAGGCCUACCAAGGCGACGAUCUGUAGCUGGUCUGAGAGGACGACCAGCCACACUGGGACUGAGACACGGCCCAGACUCCUACGGGAGGCAGCAGUGGGGAAUUUUGGACAAUGGGGGCAACCCUGAUCCAGCAAUGCCGCGUGUGUGAAGAAGGCCUUCGGGUUGUAAAGCACUUUUGUCCGGAAAGAAAACCACUUCUCUAAUACAGAGGUGGGAUGACGGUACCGGAAGAAUAAGCACCGGCUAACUACGUGCCAGCAGCCGCGGUAAUACGUAGGGUGCGAGCGUUAAUCGGAAUUACUGGGCGUAAAGCGUGCGCAGGCGGUUCGCUAAGACCGAUGUGAAAUCCCCGGGCUUAACCUGGGAACUGCAUUGGUGACUGGCGGGCUAGAGUAUGGCAGAGGGGGGUAGAAUUCCACGUGUAGCAGUGAAAUGCGUAGAGAUGUGGAGGAAUACCGAUGGCGAAGGCAGCCCCCUGGCCAAUAC
rnacentral:rRNA from 1 species